UUAUAGGCUUUAACAUUACUGAACAAUAUAUCCAUGCAAAAGAAGCAGGGGUCUUUAACAAUUAUUUCUGCUAGACAUCUAGAAAGGAGUGCAACAGUCAGAACAUAAUACUUUCUACUUAUCAAGGAGAAAGUUAAAAAGUAGCUCCAAGUAAAACAUUUUAAUCUAUAAGAAUAAAUAAUACGAGCCUAAGUUUUAAAAUAAUUAGCUGAUUAAGAAAACUGAUAUUGGAAUUUAACAAGUUUUGAAAUACUAGAAAAGAAGGAUUGGUAAGAGUUAAUAUGCAAAUAUAGAGGAAUAAUACAAUUGCUUGGGCAAAUACAGACUAGUCAGCUUGACUAAUCCCAGAUGAAGUCAUGGAGAAAAUAAAAUUUAUUUAGUGAAAAAUUAAGGAACUGUACAUAUGUGAUGUUUUAGAAAGCAUUUGGACAUUACUUUUGCACAACCUGAUAUAAUUUGAUAUUAGAAGUUUAGCCAAACAGCAACUAUGCUGACAUUAAAAACUUAGUUCUGUAAAGUCAUCUGACUUGCAUCUCUUUUUUACUUAACACAUUCUGAUGAAAAUUGUGUAAUAAUUGAAUUAAAAAUGGUUAGCUGUUAAAUUGAGAAAUAAGUGCGUCUUCUUCAUUCAACAGAGCUAACUUCUGUUUCCUACAAGGAUCUAUUUGUGACCACAUGCUGUUCCAAAGUUUUUACCAACAAUAUGAAAACUAUAUGGAGUAAAAUUCCUAGUAGUUUGCAGAUGACAAAAAUUAAGCAUGUGCACAAGCCACAUCAGGGGAACAGUCCAAAAUAUUUGGUAAGCCAGGCUCAUUUGAACAUGUGUUUUAAUGCAGCCAACUUAGGUUACGAAAAAAGAAGAUUGAGCAUAUUUACUGAUUGGGGUGUAUAAUGGAUUUUUAAGUAAACGUAACAAUCCUUUAAUGUGCUGGCUACAGAAGAA